rnacentral:rRNA from 1 species
GACAGAGGGUGCAAACGUUGUUCGGAUUUACUGGGCGUAAAGCGCGUGUAGGCGGCUUUGCAAGUCGGAUGUGAAAGCCCACGGCUCAACCGUGGAAGUGCAUCCGAAACUGCAUGGCUGGGGUCUCGGAGAGGAAGGUGGAAUGCUUGGUGUAGAGGUGAAAUUCGUAGAUAUCAAGCAGAACACCUGCGGCGAAGGCGGCCUUCUGGACGAUGACUGACGCUGAGACGCGAAAGCGUGGGGAGCAAACAGG